CAAGAGUAGAGAAAGAGGGGAAGGGGAGCAAAAGAGGAAUAAGGUGGAAGUUAGGGUUUGAAGAAAUUCAAGAGGCUUGACGAUUAGUAGCUGGCGUGUGAUCUGACUCGGAGUUUCUUCUGAGUUGCUUGGUAAUUAAGUAGUGAGUCGAUGCUCUGGUCAUGUAACACUGGGUAGAUUAGUUGUGUUAAACUCAUGUUUCUAUUUGGUUAUGUAUUAUGUUUAUGACUUGAGAACUUGUUAUUUGGCUACUUGUUGUUUGAGAGGCUUUCAAGCCAAAUAUUCUGAAUUAUAUUUUAAUUUAUGUUGAUAUGAUUAUUGAGA